rnacentral:rRNA from 2 species
GAACCGGGGCUAAUACCGGAUAAUAUUUUGAACUGCAUGGUUCGAAAUUGAAAGGCGGCUUCGGCUGUCACUUAUGGAUGGACCCGCGUCGCAUUAGCUAGUUGGUGAGGUAACGGCUCACCAAGGCAACGAUGCGUAGCCGACCUGAGAGGGUGAUCGGCCACACUGGGACUGAGACACGGCCCAGACUCCUACGGGAGGCAGCAGUAGGGAAUCUUCCGCAAUGGACGAAAGUCUGACGGAGCAACGCCGCGUGAGUGAUGAAGGCUUUCGGGUCGUAAAACUCUGUUGUUAGGGAAGAACAAGUGCUAGUUGAAUAAGCUGGCACCUUGACGGUACCUAACCAGAAAGCCACGGCUAACUACGUGCCAGCAGCCGCGGUAAUACGUAGGUGGCAAGCGUUAUCCGGAAUUAUUGGGCGUAAAGCGCGCGCAGGUGGUUUCUUAAGUCUGAUGUGAAAGCCCACGGCUCAACCGUGGAGGGUCAUUGGAAACUGGGAGACUUGAGUGCAGAAGAGGAAAGUGGAAUUCCAUGUGUAGCGGU